rnacentral:tRNA from 1 species
GCCCGGGUGGUGAAAUUGGUAGACACAAGAGACUUAAAAUCUCUCGCCGAAAGGUUUACGGGUUCGACCCCCGUCCCGGGCACCA